AUAGCAAAGUCAAAGGACUUCUCCAAAGUCACACAAGAAGAAAAUGUUGAAACAAAAAUUUGAACUGAAGUGUGUCUGACUGCAAAGCCUGAACUCUCCUGGGUCCCUUAAAAAAAGAGAAUUUAGGGGUCGGCCCGUGGCCGAGUCGUUAAGUUCACGUGCUCCGCUUCAGCAGCCCAGGGUUUCACUGGUUCGGAUCCUGGGCACAGACACAGCACCGCUCAUCACGCCAUGCUGAGGCAGCGUCCCACACGCCACAACCAGAAGGACCCACAACUAGAAUAUACAACUAUGUACUGGGGGGCUCUGGGGAGAAGAAGAAAAAACAAAGAUUGGCAACAGACGUUAGCUCAGGUGCCAAUCUUUAAAGAAAAAUGAAUUUAAAUGUGUGUGUGUGUGUUUACACAUGGGGAGGGGUUUAUAGAUUGCAUUCCCUCUUGGUUGCUUCCUCAUAACCUUGUGGCAAACACUCCCCAAAGAAGCAGUAAGUGAGACGCUGCUGCCUCUGACCAGGAGCACUAAUGGUCAGACCAGGUAGACCAGGCGACUAGCGCAGGGCCAUGGGCGAGCAGGGUCUGGGCUUCUGUGGGUGAGCCAGAUAAGGAGCUCUCACAAAGUGUGUGCAGCACAAGGACAAGCCCUAGCGAAGGAGGACACCCACUUCCUUUAUUAAGCCAUUAAAGUAUAAUUACAUCCAGCAUGUAACUACAGAAGAAAGUGCUGUCCCUCCAUGUGAUUCUAGCUCUUGACAGUGAUGAAAUUUUCAACCUGUGCGCAAUUAUUUAAAUAUUCAGGACUUCACAUGCAUGACUGGAUCAGCGCCGUAAUCAGAAUCACCGGAACGUGGCAUCUCAGAACGCAGCAGACCUUAGAGGCCUAGAACGGAGCUGGGAGAGCUGGAACCUUGCUGCUGGGUCACUAUUUGAUCUGACGCAAUCCUCUUACAACUGAAUGCAAACACAGGCUUGCCAAAUAGAUGUCCAAAUGACGGGUUACACAGCUAUGAUUCUCUUCUCAAGGAUGUAUAAAAUACCCCAAAGAUGGACUCAUAUAACCGUGGAACCACAGCACACUUAAUUUUUACAAAACACGUAUUGAUGGAACCAAUAAUGCUUAAGUUUUACAAAAUCUUAGCUAUCUGGAGUAUGUAACAAAAUAUAAACAGCUUAUAUGUCUUUUCAUUUCACAAAAGCCUAUGUCUUCAUAUCUUUAUAAAUUGUUCCUUCCCAUUUCUCUAUAUUUCUGUUCUUGCAACUUCUUGUUUAUGUGUAUUAGACAGAAUGCUGGUUGAAAUUCAACAGAUAUAACCAUGGCAGAGAAGAGGAGGAAAAAGAAAGCUGAUCAUUUCUCAAUGUUUCUUAGCUUAUAUACUCACAAAAUUUUCACUGGUGGGAUUGUAUGUAUGUUCAAAAAUAGACACGUGGACUUGUUAAUUAAGUUAAUAGAGACAAGAAUGCUGAUUUAUUUCAGUAGAUGUGCACCAACUCGGCCUUAAAAGAUGGCACAAAGAUUUUUUAAAAUAAUACACUGCAUUGUUCAGCGUGUGGUCAAAUGGUCAUACUCAUAAAUUGCUAAUGGAUUUAUAUAAUGUUGUUGGCAUACCCACAACAACAUACUAUUACUGAAGUGACAUUAAUCAAAGAAGACCUGUUGUAAGAUGUCUCCAAAGAAGGUUAUGGCCAGGUCUCAAAGAAGGUUAUGGACUUGUGGGAGG
rnacentral:lncRNA from 1 species